CUCACACAUGCAGUCGUGCGAGAAAGUUCUUCGGAUACGAGUAGAGCGGCGGACGGGUGAGUAACGCGUAGGAAUCUACCUAGUAGAAGGGGAUAGCCCGGGGAAACUCGGAUUAAUACCGUAUACCUCCUUUGGGAGAAAGAGGGCCUCUCUUUGAAGCUUUCGCUACUAGAUGAGCCUGCGUAAGAUUAGCUUGUUGGUGAGGUAACUGCUCACCAAGGCUACGAUCUUUAGCUGGUCUGAGAGGACGAUCAGCCACAUUGGGACUGAGACACGGCCCAGACUCCUACGGGAGGCAGCAGUGGGGAAUAUUGGACAAUGGGCGCAAGCCUGAUCCAGCCAUACCGCGUGUGUGAAGAAGGCCUUCGGGUUGUAAAGCACUUUAAGCAGGGAGAAAAAGUUGUAAGUUAAUACCUUACAACCGUGAUGUUACCUGCAGAAUAAGCACCGGCUAAUUCCGUGCCAGCAGCCGCGGUAAUACGGAAGGUGCAAGCGUUAAUCGGAAUUACUGGGCGUAAAGCGUGCGUAGGUGGUUUGUUAAGUUGGAUGUGAAAGCCCUGGGCUCAACCUAGGAACUGCAUCCAAAACUAACUCACUAGAGUACGAUAGAGGGAGGUAGAAUUCAUAGUGUAGCGGUGGAAUGCGUAGAUAUUAUGAAGAAUACCGGUGGCGAAGGCGGCCUCCUGGAUCUGUACUGACACUGAGGUGCGGAAGCGUGGGUAGCGAACAGGAUUAGAUACCCUGGUAGUCCACGCCGUANACGAUGACAACUAGCUGUUGGGAGACAACGUCUUUCAGUGGCGCAGCUAACGUUUUAAGUUGUCCGCCUGGGGAGUACGGCCGCAAGGCUAANACUCAAAUGAAUUGACGGGGACCCGCACAAGCGGUGGAGCAUGUGGUUUAAUUCGAUGCAACGCGAAAAACCUUACCUACUCUU
rnacentral:rRNA from 1 species